UACGUAGGGUGCGAGCGUUAAUCGGAAUUACUGGGCGUAAAGGGCGCGUAGGCGGCUGUUCAAGUCGGGGGUGAAAGCCUGUGGCUCAACCACAGAAUGGCCUCGAUACUGGACGGCUCGAGACCGGAAGAGGUCAGUGGAACUGCGAGUGUAGAGGUGAAAUUCGUAGAUAUUCGCAAGAACACCAGUGGCGAAGGCGGCUCGACUGGUCCGGUUCUGACGCUGAGGCGCGAAAGCGUGGGGAGCAAACAGG
rnacentral:rRNA from 1 species